AUUGAACGCUGGCGGCAGGCUUAACACAUGCAAGUCGAGCGGAGAUGAGGUGCUUGCACCUUAUCUUAGCGGCGGACGGGUGAGUAAUGCUUAGGAAUCUGCCUAUUAGUGGGGGACAACAUUCCGAAAGGAAUGCUAAUACCGCAUACGUCCUACGGGAGAAAGAAGGGGAUCUUCGGACCUUGCGCUAAUAGAUGAGCCUACGUCGGAUUAGCUAGUUGGUGGGGUAAAGGCCUACCAAGGCGACGAUCUGGAGCGGGUCUGAGAGGAUGAUCCGCCACACUGGGACUGAGACACGGCCCAGACUCCUACGGGAGGCAGCAGUGGGGAAUAUUGGGCAAUGGGGGGAACCCUGAUCCAGCCAUGCCGCGUGUGUGAAGAAGGCCUUUUGGUUGUAAAGCACUUUAAGCGAGGAGGAGGCUACCGAGAUUAAUACUCUUGGAUAGUGGACGUUACUCGCAGAAUAAGCACCGGCUAACUCUGUGCCAGCCGCCGCCGUAAAAC
rnacentral:rRNA from 1 species